UUGCUAGCUAGCUAGCUCCCUCAGUUCAGUUCAGUUCAGUUCAGCUCAGCUAGCUAGCUCACUCCUCUCUUGAGUCGUGGUGUCCAUCACAAUCUUCUCUAUAUCGAUACAGGUGAGGAGGUAGCUAGACAGAUCAACACCAAUCCUCUCAACGACAUCCCCUUGUUCUUGUAGAGAGAGUUGGUGUAGGUCGAAAGGCAGAUAGAUCAUAUAUAGAGGGAGAGAUGCAUAUAUGGUGUAGGGUUCUUCAAUUUGUUUCUAUGAUCGAUUCAUUCGCCCUGCAGCCCCCCCUGCGCAUCUAGUUAUGUCUCCAUCCCUCCUCCCUUGUUCCUGAUACAUAUAUAUAUAUGUAGGUAGUGGCUCUGUAUAUACCCAUGCCAUCUCUCUCAAUCUCAUCUAUAUCAUAUAUACCCAUGCUUUGCAUCUAGCUGUUUCAUUUCUUUUCACUCGUGCUUUGAAAGAUCUGGUACAGUCCGGCCUGUAUUAGUAAGAACGAGUUAGAAAAAUACACACGUACGCGCGAGAACCAUGCAUCAUCAGCUAGCUCCUCUCUUUCCUCUUUUUUUUUGUUAAUGCAUACAUUCAUAUAUAUAUUCCCAUGAAUGAAUGCUUUAAGCAUGAGGCAAGCAAACAUCGACAGUGGGUGCUUGCAGGUGCAGCACCACCAAGAUUCACAUCCAACUCUCACGCAUCUUCAGUGAUGCAUGCAUGCUCUGUGAUGUCUCGCAGCAGCUAUAUGCAUAUGUGAUGAGAUGAGAAUCUUGAUGAUGCUGCAUCAGCAGACACUCACUCAUCACACCAACGUACCCCAACAAGGGUGAGAGACGACGAAUCGGCUGCUGGUAUAUACAUACAACUGAGAAGUCGGAUUACCUUUGCUGAUUAUUAACUUGUUUCCAUUGCUGUGAAAUGAAACUUUCAAUGCAAGGGGGCUGGCCUACCAGCUGGUACUAGCAGGAAUGAAGAGCAUAUAUAUAUGAACAUGAUGAUGCAUAUAUGCAGAGCAGCAACAGCAGCAUCGUCGUACCAUCUCAUAUAUAUCAUUGCAAACAUGAGCAGUAGUGGUAGUUCAUGAAUCAUGAUGAAAGCAAGGAAGAGGAAGCUAGCAGUGCUGGACGCGGAUCAGAUGCAGAUCGAUGGAGGCCGGGGCCGGGGGUGUACCUACGUAGUACAUUGCUAUUAUUGUGUCCAUGGAAGGGGGACCAAAGUAUGUAAUGCGUUGCACACCACACACCAGAGCUGGCUCAGCAGCUAGCAGCAGCCUGUGGUGGUGGUGGUACAAUGCAGCGUGUACUGCUGUCGUCCCAGCAGCAAGUUGAAAGGUAAAAGAGAGAAAUAUUUCAGCUGACUUUACUCAUCACGCACUCUGCCUGCAUGCUGGCUGCAGGCCUGCUGUGAGUCUGUGUGUGUGUGCUUGUUCUCUUGCUUUAGUGGUGGUGUAGAUCUUCUAUUUGCUAGUUUCAGUCCACACUUCACUCACCGCCUGCGUCUAUCAUCCAUACAUAUAUGCAUAUCUACAAAGCCUGCAAAUUAGAUUGCCACA
rnacentral:lncRNA from 1 species